UACGUAGGGUGCAAGCGUUGUCCGGAAUUAUUGGGCGUAAAGAGCUCGUAGGCGGUCUGUCGCGUCGGCUGUGAAAACCUGGGGCUUAACUCCGGGCCUGCAGCCGAUACGGGCAGACUAGAGUUCGGCAGGGGAGACUGGAAUUCCUGGUGUAGCGGUGAAAUGCGCAGAUAUCAGGAGGAACACCUGUGGCGAAAGCGGCUCACUGGACCAUUACUGACGCUGAGGCACGAAAGCUAGGGGAGCAAACAGG
rnacentral:rRNA from 1 species